AAGCCAUGUUGGCUUGAAUAGUUUUUUUUAUCCCUUUAGCGAAUCAAAUUAACAUUCAAAAACUGCACUUAUUUACAGAGUUUAUCUUUAAUUACCUGAUGGUCUGACAGGAAGCAUAAACAUCAGAAAUCUGCAUCACAUUCCACAUAUUGAUAAAUUACAGACCAGUGUGAACUCCAAUUGGAUUAACAACCGGAUUGUUAAUCCAAUUCCUGGACUAGAAAUCCAGGAAUUGUUAAUUGUGACACUGACUGGCGACAUGUGAUCCUGUGACCUCCUCCUCCUUCUUCUUCUUCUCUUUCCUCUGAACAGAGCGGCUCUUCCUCACUCAGCCCAGCGCUCCUCCUCAGGCAACAUGCUGAUCACAGCUUUUUAUCUGUCUCUGCUUUCACACUUAGGUCUCACUGGUGAAGUCCUCCAGCCUGCAGAUGUCAUUUCUCACCAAGGAGACAAUGUGACGGUGGAGUGCUUGUUGGGAAAACGUUCCAUGACUCAGUUAACCAUGUGCUGGUAUCAGCAGAAGCACCGCGGAGCUCCGGUCGAGUUCAUCCUCAGAAAGGACCAGACGAACGCCAGACGCUUCCAGUUGUUUAUCGAUCACGAACAAAACAGCUUCACUCUUCGCAUGUCUGGGCUGCUUGUGAACGACAGCAGCACCUACUACUGCGCUGCCCGUCACAGUGAUGCAGACAAACCACGACCUCGUGCAAAUAGCAUAUCAGAGGAACGCAGGAAGGAGCUACGAUAGGUUUGGUUUGGUCUUUGAGCUACGCACUAGUGGUGGCCGAUAUGGACAUGAAUAUUCUGUGGUAUUAUUGUUGUCACAAUAAAAGUGAUAAGAACUA